rnacentral:rRNA from 1 species
UACGGGGGGGGCAAGCGUUGUUCGGAAUUACUGGGCGUAAAGGGCGCGUAGGCGGCCUUGCAAGUGGAAGGUGAAAUCCCUCGGCUUAACCGAGGAACUGCCUUCCAGACUGCUAGGCUUGAGACCGGGAGAGGUGAGUGGAAUUCCCAGUGUAGCGGUGAAAUGCGUAGAUAUUGGGAGGAACACCAGUGGCGAAGGCGGCUCACUGGACCGGUACUGACGCUGAUGCGCGAAAGCGUGGGGAGCAAACGGG